CAAAUUUAAAAUCUACCUGGUUUCCAGGUCGAGUUGUAAUUUGAAGAUACGUUUUUGACGUUCCGGGUUGAACUAAAUCCUUUGGGAUAAGGUAUCAUGGAGGGUGAGAAUCCCGUAUAUACCAACCGYAGGGAUGUUAUUUAAUACGUUUCUAARARUCSAGUUGUUUGGGAAUGCAGCUCUAAAUGGGUGGUAAAUUUCACCUAAUGCUAAAUAUAAGCGAGAGACCGAUAGCGAACAAGUACAGUGAUGGAAAGAUGAAAAGAACUUUGAAAAGAGAGUUAAAUAGUACGUGAAAUUGUUGAAAGGGAAACGAUUGAAGUCAGUCAUGCCAGUGGGAAUCAACUUAGAGGAAACUCUGAGUGCACUUCUUCGCUUGGCAGGUCAACGUCGAUUUUGGAUGUCAUAAAAUGAUUGGGGGAAGGUAGCUCCUUCGGGAGUGUUAUAGCCCUUGGUAGAUGUGAUGUCUGGGAUCGAGGAUUGCAAUGGAUACCCUUUGGGGCUAGCCGCCUGAUCUCUAAUCRGUAUUGGGUUACGGA
rnacentral:rRNA from 1 species